rnacentral:lncRNA from 1 species
CUUUAAUAUACUGCUUGCAUUCUUCCUUUUUUUAAAAAAAUUUUCCCACUAAUGUGAUAAGGAAGCUCUGAAAUACAGAGGAAUCAGACACUUCUAAAACAGACAGAACUGUUCUGACUUGGUGUUGAAAUCUCACCAGGGAAGUGUUUAUCCUGGCUUUUUAAAGUAUUCACACAGGAGGAGCCUCCUGCUCAAGGUAGGCCAGUGAGCUUGUACCUAAUGACUGAGAGGUGCAUCGCCAAAGGGUGA